UGCGAGCGUUAAUCGGAAUUACUGGGCGUAAAGGGUGCGUAGGUGGUUGUAUAAGUUAACUGUGAAAUCCCCGGGCUCAACCUGGGCAGGUCAGUUAAGACUGUAUGACUCGAGUAUGGGAGAGGGUAGUGGAAUUUCCGGUGUAGCGGUGAAAUGCGUAGAGAUCGGAAGGAACACCAGUGGCGAAGGCGGCUACCUGGCCUAAUACUGACACUGAGGCACGAAAGCGUGGGGAGCAAACAGG
rnacentral:rRNA from 1 species